rnacentral:rRNA from 1 species
CCCAGACAGCCAGGAUGUUGGCUUAGAAGCAGCCAUCAUUUAAAGAAAGCGUAAUAGCUCACUGGUCGAGUCGGCCUGCGCGGAAGAUGUAACGGGGCUAAACCAUGCACCGAAGCUGCGGCAGCGAACGUAUCACUUAAAGCGAUUCAGCGGAUGACGAUUGACGGAGCGAAGCGACGUCAAAGCGUAUACAAAGUCGAGUCGGUUUAAGGAUACGUUCGUUGGGUAGGGGAGCGUUCUGUAAGCCUGUGAAGGUGGCCUGUGAGGGUUGCUGGAGGUAUCAGAAGUGCGAAUGCUGACAUAAGUAACGAUAAAGCGGGUGAAAAGCCCGCUCGCCGGAAGACCAAGGGUUCCUGUCCAACGUUAAUCGGGGCAGGGUGAGUCGACCCCUAAGGCGAGGCCGAAAGGCGUAGUCGAUGGGAAAC